rnacentral:misc_RNA from 1 species
GGAAGUAAAGUCGUAACAAGGUUUCCGUAGGUGAACCUGCGGAAGGAUCAUACAUAAUAAGUGUUUUACUGCGCUUUUUAAAAAUAGUACUCACCUUGUGUGCAAUGUUGUGUUUCUUUUCGGAGAAACACCUACACCAACCUAUAACCUUGAACCACUUUGUCUGAAAAACUAUUAUGAAUACUUAAUUCAAAAUACAACAUCCAACAACGGAUCUCUUGGCUCUC